ACAUGGCCCUCCUUGCCGUCUUCCACAGCUUUCUUGAACUGCAUGCCGCCGGCUGGUGGAUGCUGCGCGCUUGAAUUCCGGUCGAUCCCAAGAGGCGCAGUUCAAUAAAGCUGUGGGAAACUGCAGAGAGAGGCCAC